rnacentral:rRNA from 1 species
GAAAGAUGGGUGAGAAUCCCAUCCACCGAUUGACUAAGGUUUCCAGAGGAAGGCUCGUCCGCUCUGGGUUAGUCGGGACCUAAGCCGAGGCCGAUAGGCGUAGGCGAUGGAUAACAGGUAGAUAUUCCUGUACCACCUAUGAUUGUUUGAACGAUGGGGGGACGCAGUAGGAUAGGCGAAGCGUGCUGUUGGAGUGCACGUCCAAGCAAUAAGACUGAGUGUUAGGCAAAUCCGGCACUCGUAAGGUUGAGUUGUGAUGGGGAGUUGGAUCAUGUAUCCGACGAGUCGUUGAUUUCACACUGCCAAGAAAAGCCUCUAGUUAGAAAAUAGGUGCCCGUACCGCAAACCGACACAGGUAGUCAAGAUGAGAAUUCUAAGGUGAGCGAGCGAACUCUCGUUAAGGAACUCGGCAAAAUGACCCCGUAACUUCGGGAGAAGGGGUGCUUUUUAGGGUGCAAGCCUUGAAGAGCCGCAGUGAAUAGGCCCAAGCGACUGUUUAUCAAAAACACAGGUCUCUGCUAAACCGUAAGGUGAUGUAU